rnacentral:misc_RNA from 1 species
GAUGAAGAACGUAGCAAAAUGCGAUACUUGGUGUGAAUUGCAGAAUCCCGUGAACCAUCGAGUUUUUGAACGCAAGUUGCGCCCGAAGCCUUUUGGCCGAGGGCACGUCUGCCUGGGCGUCACGCAUCGUGUCGCCCCCCACAAAUUCUCCGUCAGGGGAGCUUGUGUUUCGGGGGCGGAUACUGGUCUCCCGUGCUCAUGGCGCGGUUGGCCGAAAUAGGAGUCCCUUCGAUGGACGCACGAACUAGUGGUGGUCGUAAAAACCCUCGUCUUUUGUUUCGUGCCGUUAGUCGCGAGGGAAGCUCUUCAAAAACCCCAACGCGUCGUCUCUUGACGGCGCUUCGACCGCGACCCCAGGUCAGGCGGGACUACCCGCUGAGUUUAAGCAUAUCAAUAAGCGGAAGA